rnacentral:rRNA from 1 species
AACAUCGCCUCUUGAUCACUAUAAGAGGUCCAGCCUGCCCAGUGACAUAAUUAAACGGCCGCGGUACCCUGACCGUGCGAAGGUAGCAUAAUCACUUGUUCUUUAAAUAGGGACUCGUAUCAACGGCAUCACGAGGGUUACACUGUCUCCCCCCUCUAAUCAGUGAAACUGACUUCCCCGUGAAGAGGCGGGGAUAAAACUACAAGACGAGAAGACCCCAUGGAGCUUUAAACCCAAUAACAUCUCUUAUCAACCACACCUUGAAAAUUAAAGAGGCCUGUUUAUUGGUUUUAGGUUGGGGUGACCGCGGAGUAAAAUCUAACCUCCACGACGAAUGGUUUAUCCUAAUCCAAGAGCCACUGCUCUAAGAAUCAAAAAUUUGACGUAAAAUGAUCCGGCAACCGAUCAACGAACCAAGUUACCCUGGGGAUAACAGCGCAAUCCAUUUCAAGAGCCCCUAUCGACAAAUGGGUUUACGACCUCGAUGUUGGAUCAGGGUAUCCCAGUGGUGCAGCCGCUACUAAAGGUUUGUUUGUUCAACAAUUAAAACCCUACGUGAUCUGAGUUCAGA